UGGGGAAUAUUGCACAAUGGGGGAAACCCUGAUGCAGCGACGCCGCGUGAGCGAUGAAGGCUUUCGAGUCGUAAAGCUCUGUCCUAUGGGAAGAUAAUGACGGUACCAUAGAAGAAAGCCCCGGCUAAUUACGUGCCAGCAGCCGCGGUAAUACGUAAGGGGCGAGCGUUGUCCGGAAUUAUUGGGCGUAAAGCGCGCGCAGGUGGUUUAGAAAGUCUGAUGUGAAAGCCCACGGCUCAACCGUGGAGGGUCAUUGGAAACUAAUAAACUGGAGUGCAGGAGAGAAAAGUGGAAUUCCUAGUGUAGCGGUGAAAUGCGUAGAGAUUAGGAGGAACACCGGUGGCGAAAGCGGCUUUUUGGCCUGCAACUGACACUGAGGCGCGAAAGCGUGGGGAGCAAACAGG
rnacentral:rRNA from 1 species